CUCACGUUUGCCGAAUACCCACCCCCACGUGACCCGAACUCCAGUCCAUCCCGCUCCUCGUCUCUCUCGGUGGCCAGAUCCGGGCACGCGGGCUGCUGCGGCGUUGGGAUUCCAACGCGCGGGUGGCGGCGGCAGCUGGAUCUGGGCGCGCGGACGGCGGCAGCGACUGGAUCCGUGCAUGCGAGGGUCGCUGCUUCCUCAAGCCGCCGUAUGUCGAGGUGUACGCCCUAUGCCGCCCCUAUGCACCGCUCAGGCCCUUGCUCGUUGCGGCGUGGCGACGCUCCGAGGAGGACAUCUUCCCUGCCGUGGGGUCGACGACGUCGUUUCAUCCGCAUUUUCGUGUUCAGCAUCAGGUGUUCGCGGCCGCCGACGAAGAGGUCCCUGCCAACGCCGACCAUCAUACCACCACCAUGCCUUCGCUUCGUCGAGGUCAGGAAGCUGUGCCCACGCUGAGGUCACCGACGAGGAGGUUGAGAUCCUGAAGAGCUCCUCCGCAAGCAUCAUUGAGUUAAUUACGUUCCUACACAAGCAUCGUUGUUCUCUGCUAUGACUACUAAUCUAGGUAUAUCCACAUAGCCACCAAUCAUCUGAAGCCUCUAUUGAGAUGUUGAUUGAUUCAAAAUGUGUUCUCAAUUUUCUCUAUUUGAUUUGAUUUGUGUUAAAUAAAUGGUGCUAGUUAAUACCGAGCUGGAAUCAAAUUUUGAUGCUAUAUGAAAUACUAGGAUUAUUUGAUUUGAUCUGUGUUAAAUAAAUGGUGGCGAGAUUGUUGGGUUUGCGAGCUCACCAACGAGAAGGUCCUCUACUGCAUCCUGGCCUAAGGCGUCCGCGAGUGCUCGCGAGCUCACUGACAGGGAGGUCCUCCACUGCAUCUCCACCAUCAAGGUCACCGUGCCCUUACUGCUAUUACUACUAAGCUGUCUAAUUAUAGCGUGGCGGGCUGCCCCUUCCCCCUCCCGAGCGUCGCCCCCGACACUCCCCCUGCUCCUCUCCUCCCUCAAUUCCGUGUUGCGCAACGCCCAGCUCCUAAUUCAUUUUGGUAUCUUGUCCAUCCAGUUUAAUCCCUUUAAUAUUAUGUUGCACUUUUCCUGUUGCAGGGUCUCACUGAGCUACGCAACUUAGGUUUUCCCCCGCUGCAGGUCAUCACUAAGGUCCAGAAUGGAGGAAAGGGUUAUGGUAUGACUGAAAACUGCUGGAUACUAUCCCUGGAGUACCUGCAAAAGGGCCAUGCCUGUUUGUUCAAGUGGAGUACUUGUCUUAGGAGUUGAUGCAAAGACAAUGAAGCAUCUACCUCCGAACAACUAGGAGAAAUCUGUGUUCGAGGACCAAACAUAAUGGAAGAUGAUAUUUGAUUAUUUUUCUGUGUCAUUGAUUGUGUUUGGUUACAAAUAUAACUGUGUAUAUAUGCUUGGAAUAUUUAAAU